rnacentral:rRNA from 1 species
GACGGAGGGUGCAAGCGUUGUCCGGAUUUAUUGGGUUUAAAGGGUGCGUAGGCGGCUUUUUAAGUCAGUGGUGAAAUCCAGCAGCUUAACUGUUGAAUUGCCAUUGAUACUGGAGAGCUUGAGUACAGACGAGGUAGGCGGAAUUUAUGGUGUAGCGGUGAAAUGCAUAGAUACCAUAAAGAACACCGAUUGCGAAGGCAGCUUACUAGGCUGUAACUGACGCUGAGGCACGAAAGUGUGGGGGAUCAAACAGG